GCGGCGGAGGCUGAGGUGUGACCAGGAGUGUCCUAGAGUAUCCAUUUCCGCUUAGAUCUUCACGUGGUUAGUUGUUGUUAUCGUUACCAGGACGCCGUGGGAGUUUGGAUUCGGAACCUGGGGAAUCCUGAGGGUCCGUGGGCGGAAGUCGCGGCCCCGGAGUGCCGUGUGCAGAGUUCUCUGCCGAGCAGUGUGAGAUCCCCGGGUCAGGCCAAGUCAUCCAUGCUGCUGAUUUUCUAGGACAACCAAGCUGAGUUCUGCUUGUCAGCUCUACUCAGCGGCUCCACAUGCUCACCCGAAUCCUGAGGAAAGCCAAGACCAAGAGUAGACACCACAGAGGACAUGUUGACCGACAUGAAUUUCUGCCAGAAGCCCCAGAGACUGGAAGUGGAGGAGCAGGAGGGGUCAUGUGAGAGAUUGGUGUCCUUUGAGGAUGUGACCGUGAACUUCAGCCAGGAGGAGUGGCGGUGCCUGGACCCUGCCCAGAGACGCCUGUACCAGGACGUGAUGCUCGAGAUCUACAGCCACCUCUUGGCAGUGGGGUAUCCCAGGCCAGAGGCCAUCCUCAAGGUGAAGGAAGUUCAUUUCCCACAUCAGAGGUGUCAGUGUCAAGGGGAAUCAGAGCAUGGCUCACCACAUCAGAUUUGUGUGAAAGCUGCAUUUCCAAAUGAUGUAUCAAGAGAACAUUCUGUUAUAGAGGAACUGUGGCAGGCUGGUGACCCUACAAAGACAGAUCAGCAAAACCAGAGCCCACUCUUGAGUUCUGGUACUUUCUUCAACCAGAAAACACUGAUAGGUGACAAUAGUUAUGAGCGUGAAGCCACCGGGGGAUAUAUACCUUUAGGCCUCCACCUCAUUUCUACACAAAACAGAUCUCCAAAAUGUUGCUCAUUUGAAAAAACUCUGCAGCCUAAUCCUAACCUUCAAGCAAAUGGUGAACCUCAAAGCAUUGCCCCAAAGCAGUCUAAUGGCGUUGUUGAAUCCUGUCAGUUCUUCACACAAGGCCCUUCUAAUGCUGUGUGCACAGUUCCUAACAGAGAAGAGAAAGCAUGCAAAGGUAAACAGCUGGGAAAAGUUCUCAGCCCUAAGCAGCCACUUAGACAGCAUGAAAUUCCUUCUCAGGACACUCCGGUUGCAUAUACCAUAUAUGGGAAAGUCUCCACUGCUAAGUCAGCUUUGUGUCAGCAGCAAAUUGCUAACACUAUAGAGACACCUUUUAUUUGUCACAUAUGUGGAAAAUCCUUCCUUCAGAAAUAUGAGUUGAGUUCUCAUCCAGGAACAAACAGAGGAGAGACACCUUCUGAAUGUCCUGACUGUGCAAAAUCACUUACAAGUACAUCCAGCCUGCAGGUGUCUCAUGAAGUCCAAACAAAGGAAAAACCUUACAAAUGCCAUGUCUGUGGGAAAUCAUUCAGCUAUGCAUCCCACCUAAAGGUCCAUCUUCGAAUACACACAGGUGAGAGACCUUAUGUGUGUUCUGACUGUGGGAAAGCCUUUAGCCAAAAGUCAGUCCUCACCACACAUCAGAGAAUUCACACUGGGGAGAAGCCUUACAUGUGUAAGCACUGUGGGAAAUUGUUUGUUUAUGCAUCAGAUCUGAAGAAGCAUAGUCGGUUUCACACAGGGGAGAAGCCUUAUGAGUGCCUUGACUGUGGAAAGUUGUUCAGUAAUAAAUCCCACCUGCCUGUGCAUCAUCGAAUUCAUACUGGUGAGAAGCCUUACAAAUGCUGCGACUGUGGGAAAUCAUUCAGAAGAAAAUCCCACCUUAAAGUACACAAUCGAAUACACACUGGUGAGAAGCCUUACAUAUGCCCUGAUUGUGGGAAGGCCUUCAGCCACAGUUCAGUUCUCAGCACACAUCAGAGAAUUCACACUGGGGAGAGGCCUUACACUUGCAGUGACUGUGGGAAAGCCAUGUCAUCUAAAGCCCAACUGAAUGAGCAUCAGAGAAUCCACACAGAGAUUGGUGUCAUUUGAGGAUGUGACCGUGGACUUCAGCCAGGAGGAGUGGCAGCAGCUGAACUCUGCCCAGAGACGCCUGUACCAGGACGUGAUGCUCGAGAUCUACAGCCACCUCUUGGCAGUGGCUGUCUUCUACUAUGAAAUUCUUGCAUGGACAAAUAUUUUCAGACCUGCUGAACUUCUAGGUAACUUCUCUGCUGGAGCCAGUACCUGGAUAAGGUCAGGCUCAACCUCAGACAUCAGGAUAUUUGGGCUGAUCCUCUUCACUGACAUCCACAGAGUUGACCUGGCUGAGGUUGGAGUAGAUACCCUCAUUUGGAAUUUCUGAGCAAGAGACGUGGACCAACUCUUCUCUCACCUUUGGGCUGUUUUGUAUUAAGAGGUACAAAAAAAUGAGAUGAAGUCUGGAUGGGUGAUAGUUUUGCUAAAGGAAUGCCCCCACAACUGACACUUGUACCCCCAGAAAUGACCACAGGAGGCCCCGUGGUGUUCUGUUCUUAGGACACCAGGUCCUUCCUUCCCUGUGCAGUCCUCUCACUUCUAUGUGUAGCACUACACAGCGCAGUCUAGUCCCUGGCAUGCAGCUUUUUCUGUUGCAGAUGCCACAGAGGAGAGGCUAGUCCAAAGCCAGUCAGUGCCGUGCUACUUUGUGAAUGGAGUAGCUGCCCUGUGCACAUGUGUGCCCACUUUUCUUCUAGCCUAGCCCCCUCCAAGCCCACCAGUGAGCUGUGGGGCUCUAGGGAAUAACUCAACAUUUAGAAUUAUCUGUUGUGAUCUGUAGAGUGGGGCUCACGUUUAGAUCAGACUUGACUUGUAGUGCUUGAACAGCAUGUAUAGACAAGGGUAUGUCAAGCUCAGCAUUAGGUGCUAAGACUAGACCAUGUUCUCACAGCUCUAGUGUCCAGCAUGGAGAUCACACACCACUUGUAUGUGUUUCUGCAUGUUUUCCCCCACCACUGAGUACUAGGAAACCUCAGUGGUUUCCAUUUUAGUGGUCUUCUGUAUAAUGUAUCCUUGAUGUGCCUGUCUGUACAACCCUCUAUCACACUAGUUUGAUGAGAGCAGGGCUCAACUCCUCUGUUGUGCCCCUUGGCACUAGGGAUCCAGAACUGAGUACCUGACCCUCACAUCCUCCAUGUUCUAGGGACUGUAUGCUUAUCCAAGGAAGAGAAGACAGGACUCGAGAAGCAGGUUAGCAUUUUUCCCCAGCCAGCCAUACCUCAGAUAGGCACCAUAGGUCCCCAACCCUGACCCAGCAACCAAAGAGACACAUUUAUCUGGACUAUUUUCUCCAUGGUUGAACCAACUCCAAGGAAUGUUUCUUGAAAGGUGAGGUUGGUUGUAAUCUUGGAGUUGUGGGGACAGCUGACUUCCAGUAGGCAGCAGGCAUCCCCUGCUCACAGACCCAGAGCACAGAUAAUAUUAGGUUCCUGGCACAGCCAGACUCCAGGGCUUCUGGGAUGUGGAUGAGGAUGUGAGAGGGUGACAUGCAGGAUCAAGAAUGGAACCAGGUGCAGAAAGCCCCUGAUGUUCUGCCCUUAGCCAGUCCCAGGACAGGGUUCCAUACCAGCCUUACAGUACAGCUCCUAUGACCUCCCAGAGCCUGUGACUUUCCUGCUACAUGCACAGAUGUCUGCUUCAGUAGUUCCAUGUGAAACUACUACUACUUCUCCUCCUCCUCUUCCUUCUUCUUUUUUCUACCCCCUUUCUUCUGCCAUUAUCUCCUGUGAAACUCUGGUAUCCACAGAGAAAAGGUGGAAUUUGCCCUGGGCAGUGUGAUUAUGGUCACCAAAGUCUUAUCCUAUCAAUCCUUGCGUGAAUCAGUUGCCAGAGACAGACACAGUGCAAAAUAGAGGCAUGGUAUAGGAUGAUCAGUGGGACUCAAAGAAUGGAAUGGUUGCUGUUUCUGAUAUUUUGAUGGGGAAUUAUAGAUUCCAUGUCAGAAGCCAUGUGGGGAGAUGAGGCUUAGCUUGACUCAGAGCGUAUAACCCCUGUUCCCAAGCCCACUCACUUGCCUGGAACAGGCCCAUCAGCAUCAUGGCGGGAGGUGUCUGGGUCCUGGGCUCGUAUGAGGGAUGACCACAGCAAGGGCUUACUGUGGGGCUGGAGAUGCUGUGAGAGAGUCCUUGUUCAUAGAAGGCAAACCCCCAAUCCACAGGUGGCAAAACCAUAUGCAGGGAAUAGAAAGACACCUCGGAGCCAGAGGCCAGAGAGAUGUUAGAGGCAUUCUUGGAGGAGUAGAGAAUACGCUCUGCUCCCACCUCGCACUUCUCCGGAUAGUGGGGUCUGAAUCAGACAUUUUUCCUGAUUCACAAGCUGUUGACAGUUUUUUUUAAAGAUCUUCAGACUGUCUUGAGAGUCCCUUCAGGAAUCUCUGAGGUUUACCCAGGCUUGGGAGAUGGGACAAUGUGUGAGGACAUUUUAUUUCUUACACCUUGUGGAAGAUGUGGUCGAGCUCCUUCCAUUUAUUGGGUGGAGCUCACACUGUACAACAUUCUACAGCACACAGGGCCUCACCAGUCAAAAGUCAUCAAGCCUCAGCUCGUAUCAACAAUCAGAAGCCCGAGAGGUGCUGCAGUAGACCCCGAAGGCUGUCAGAUUCACACGGAUGAAGGUUCAGUGUGGGGAUUUAGGAACAUAAAAGAUAGUAGUGGUCAUGGGUGAAGUGUUGAACGUUCCCUCAGUCAGCAUUUACUGUGGGCUGGGGCUGAGACAGAUGCAGGAAACGCUACUGAUGCCCUUGGGGUUCUGCCCAUGCUGGGAGAGCCAGACAAAUGCCCCAAAGGGACAGGCCAGGGGGCUGUGCUGUGUCGUGAUUUCUUCUGUAUUACAACAUCCCAUCCUGGAGCAAAGCUCCUGAAGACUUAGGAAGUUUUGAUGGGAGGCUCAUCCAGACCUGGGAAGUAAAGAACACAUAAGUCUUCGGAAACACCCGAACCUGAUCAGAUACACAAUGUGCCUUUCUCCCUAAGCUGAGAUAAGCAGUAAGGACUGCCGAGGAAACAGACUAGCCAAGCUGCUUGGAAGAGACAUUCUCCAACCUGUGGAAUGACCUACCCAGCAUACAGUAAGUGACGGUUGCAGUUUUUGUGAACCAAUGCCCAUGCGGGAGUGGGCUUUCAGGGAUGCAUUGCCUUUGAGACACUUCUUCUGUAAUUAACCCCAAUAAACCCCAAUAAAUGCAUUGGUUCACCAUGUUGUACUCUGGUGUGUUGUUAUGUUAACCUGCUGUCAGCUCACCUAUUGGGUGACCAGGCAUUUGUCAUACAUGUCUUGCCAGUUUCCUGUGGGCACACUGAGCAGGCUAUACAUGGUUUCUCCUCUCAGAAAACAAGAGAAUAUUUCUGGGUAUGUGGCUCUGUUGUGGAUGGGCAGUAUGGAGAGAUGAGGUAAAGACCCAUGUGAUAGAACAAAGA